UUGGAAGAGUGGAGGAUCGCUUUCGAGAGAGAUCUCGGAAGAGGAAAGUCCGAACUCCACAGGGCGCGAUGCCGGAUAACCUGGAUUCGUUCAGGAUACAUCCGGGAGAUCUUGCCGAGAGGCAACUCGACGGAAAGUGCCGCAGAAAGGAAAACCGCCCGACUCCUUUCCGAAUCGGCUGUUUUGGUGAAUCAGGAAGAAUAUUGACGAAAGAAGGUCAUUAUUCGAGAUUGUGCCGAGCAUGGCGAUUCAGAAACGAGUCGGGUAAGGGUGAAAAGGUGGGGUAAGAGCCCACCGCCCCGAGAGUAAUUGAGGGGGCAAGGUAAACCCCAUCAGGAGCAAGGCCAAAUAGGGAACCUCGGAACGGCUCGUUCCAUUUUCCAAGGUUUUGGAAAGGGUUUCGGGUAAGGUCGCUGAGAUAAAUGAUCCUCUCCGCUUUUUGGUUUUAACCGGAAUGUGCAGACAAGAUUCGGCUUAUAGCUCUUCCAAAACC
rnacentral:RNase_P_RNA from 1 species